rnacentral:snoRNA from 1 species
UCUGCCCCUAGAGUCAUUCCAUAUGUAGCUGAAGUGUCACAUGUGUGCCAGUAGGUGGUAGAAAGGAGAAAGGCUAGGUCAGUGUUAUGACCUGUGGUGAACCUCUGACCUUCAGUCCAGUCCCAGGGAGCUAGCCUGAGAUG